rnacentral:sRNA from 1 species
UUCAAAAGGUUUCUAAACGUUUUGUUGGU